GCGCCGGUAGUGCAUUUGGCAGCACGCCCCGCCCCCGGUGGGGAGGAGCUCGUUCGAGUCGGGCCCGGCGCUC
rnacentral:tRNA from 1 species